AAAAGAUCUUUACCAAUCCUACAACAGAUAGAGGCUUUAUAUCCAAAAUAUACAAAGAGCUGAAGAAGUUAGACCGCAGGGAGACAAAUAACCCUAUUAAAAAAUGGGGUUCAGAGCUAAACAAAGAAUUCACAGCUGAGGAAUGCCGAAUGGCUGAGAAACACCUAAAGAAAUGUUCAACAUCUUUAGUCAUAAGGGAAAUGCAAAUCAAAACAACCCUGAGAUUUCACCUCACACCAGUGAGAAUGGCUAAGAUCAAAAACUCAGGGGACAGCAGAUGCUGGCGAGGAUGUGGAGAAGGAGGAACACCCCUCCAUUGUUGGUGGGAUUGCAUACUCGUACAACCAUUCUGGAAAUCAGUCUGGAGGAUCCUCAGAAAAUUGGACAUUGAACUGCCUGAGGAUCCAGCUAUACCUCUCUUGGGCAUAUACCCAAAAGAUGCCCCAACAUAUAAAAGAGACACGUGCUCCACUAUGUUCAUCGCAGCCUUAUUUAUAAUAGCCAGAAGCUGGAAAGAACCCAGAUGCCCUUCAACAGAGGAAUGGAUACAGAAAAUGUGGUACAUCUACACAAUGGAAUAUUACUCAGCUAUCAAAAACAACGACUU
rnacentral:lncRNA from 1 species